CCUACGGGUGGCUGCAGUGGGGGAUAUUGCACAAUGGGGGAAACCCUGAUGCAGCGACGCCGCGUGGGUGAAGAAGCGCCUCGGCGCGUAAAGCCCUGUUAGCAGGGAAGAAAAUGACGGUACGUGAAGAAGAAGCCCCGGCAUACUACGUGCCAGCAGCCGCGGUAAUAAGUAGGGGGCAAGCGCUAGCCGGAUUUACUGGGGGUAAAGGGGGCGCGGGCGGGGAUGCAAGAAAGGAGUGAAAGCCCGGGGCCCAACCCCGGAACUGCUCUUGGAACUGCGUGGCUAGAGUGCAGGAGGGGCAGGCGGAAUUCCUGGUGUAGCGGUGAAAUGCGUAGAUAUCAGGAGGAACACCGGUGGCGAAGGCGGCCUUCUGGACUGCAACUGACGUUGAGGCCCGAAAGCGUGGGGAGCAAACAGGAUUAGAUACCCGUGUAGUC
rnacentral:rRNA from 1 species